ACGGAAGGCAGCAGUGGGGAAUAUUGGGCAAUGGGCGAAAGCCUGACCUAGCGACGCCGCGUGAGGGAAGAAGGUCUUCGGAUUGUAAACCUCUUUCAGCAGGGAAGAACAAUGACGGUACCUGCAGAAGAAGUCACGGCUAACUACGUGCCAGCAGCCGCGGUAAUACGUAGGUGGCGAGCGUUAUCCGGAAUUACUGGGUGUAAAGGGUGUGUAGGCGGAGAAGCAAGUCAGGCGUGAAAUUCAGAGGCUCAACCUCUGGACUGCGCUUGAAACUGUUUCCCUUGAGAGUGGGAGAGGUAAACGGAAUUCCUGGUGUAGUAGUGAAAUGCGUAGAUAUCAGGAGGAACACCGGUGGCGAAGGCGGUUUACUGGACCACAACUGACGCUGAGACACGAAAGCGUGGGGAGCAAACAGGAUUAGAUACCCUGGUA
rnacentral:rRNA from 1 species